GAUUAGAUCAAUCUGGCUGGAUGCACAGGCAUCCUUUCUCUCUCAUCAAUCCUUGUGUGCCUCUUUUGAGACUUUACACUAGGAUGACCUUCCAAGAACAAAGGAGGACUGGUCUUUGGUCAAGGGUAUGUGAAUAUCUGAGCUAUAACUGCUAUAACUUCCACUGAAGCUCACAAAGGAACAUUUGAAACAAAGUUACACUUCCAUAUACAUGAGCUUAACCUCCACAAAUCCAAACAAAACUUGUAAUUAUUU
rnacentral:snRNA from 1 species